UAGGGAAUCUUCCGCAAUGGGCGAAAGCCUGACGGAGCAACGCCGCGUGAGUGAUGAAGGGUUUCGGCUCGUAAAACACUGUUGUAAGAGAAGAAUGACAUUGAGAGUAACUGUUCAAUGUGUGACGGUAUCUUACCAGAAAGGAACGGCUAAAUACGUGCCAGCAGCCGCGGUAAUACGUAUGUUCCAAGCGUUAUCCGGAUUUAUUGGGCGUAAAGCGAGCGCAGACGGUUAUUUAAGUCUGAAGUGAAAGCCCUCAGCUUAACUGAGGAAUUGCUUUGGAAACUGGAUGACUUGAGUGCAGUAGAGGAAAGUGGAACUCCAUGUGUAGCGGUGAAAUGCGUAGAUAUAUGGAAGAACACCAGUGGCGAAGGCGGCUUUCUGGACUGUAACUGACGUUGAGGCUCGAAAGUGUGGGUAGCAAACAG
rnacentral:rRNA from 1 species